GCACAGGAGUACCUGGAGGUGCAGAGGCAGCUGGCCAUCCAGCGCCUGCAGGAGCAGGAGAAGGAGCGGCAGCUGCGGCUGGAGCAGCAGAAGCAGACGGUCCAGAUGCGCGCGCAGAUGCCCGCCUUCCCCCUGCCCUACGCCCAGGCAUGUGCCGUCUUCCCGCCACCCAGAGGCUCGUGGGCUGAGGACCAGCUCUCACCACCAUCUCCUUCGUCCCCAGCUCCAGGCCAUGCCUGCGGCCGGAGGCGUGCUCUACCAGCCCUCGGGACCAGCCAGCUUCCCCAGCACCUUCAGCCCCGCCGGCUCAGUGGAGGGCUCCCCCAUGCACAGCGUGUACAUGAGCCAGCCGGCCCCUGCUGCUGGCCCCUACCCCAGCAUGCCCGGCACCGCUGCUGAUCCCAGCAUGGUGAGUGCCUACAUGUACCCAGCAGGGGCCACUGGGGCGCAGGCGGCCCCCCAGGCCCAGGCCGGACCCACCGCCAGCCCCGCUUACUCAUCCUACCAGCCUACUCCCACAGCGGGCUACCAGAACGUGGCCUCCCAGGCCCCACAGAGCCUCCCGGCCAUCUCUCAGCCUCCGCAGUCCAGCACCAUGGGCUACAUGGGGAGCCAGUCAGUCUCCAUGGGCUACCAGCCUUACAACAUGCAGAAUCUCAUGGCCACCCUCCCGAGCCAGGACGCGUCUCUGCCGCCCCAGCAGCCCUACAUCGCGGGGCAGCAGCCCGUGUACCA
rnacentral:sRNA from 1 species